CAGGUCCCGCCUCCUGCCCUGCUUCAGACCUCCACCCCCUACAGACAUCCAGCUCAGCCCCCUGCUAAGAGAGCCCAGGGUGCAGGGCUCUCCCCACAGAAGAUAGAGACAGCGAGGGGAAGAGUUCCGGAGUCCAGUGUGGGCAAGAAGGAGCUGAGAGCAGAUGAAGUUCCAUUCCUGGUCUAUCAUGAAGGAGAACUGGUCUUGUCCCUCUCUGCAGAGGAGACCCCAGAAAGCAAAACCCAGAACGAAUCACUGACCCCUGACCAGCUGCAGCUCACAAGACAGAUUCCAGCCUUGAUGGUCACCACCACAGCACCAGCGCCCC